rnacentral:rRNA from 1 species
GUAACAAGGUCUCCGUUGGUGAACCAGCGGAGGGAUCAUUACCGAGUUUUCAACUCCCUAACCCUUCUGUGAACCUACCUAUCGUUGCUUCGGCGGACUCGCCCCAGCCCGGACGCGGACUGGACCAGCGGCCCGCCGGGGACCCCAAACUCUUGUAUUCCAGCAUCUUCUGAAUACGCCGCAAGGCAAAACAAAUGAAUCAAAACUUUCAACAACGGAUCUCUUGGCUCUGGCAUCGAUGAAGAACGCAGCGAAACGCGAUAAGUAAUGUGAAUUGCAGAAUCCAGUGAAUCAUCGAAUCUUUGAACGCACAUUGCGCCCGCCAGCAUUCUGGCGGGCAUGCCUGUUCGAGCGUCAUUUCAACCCUCGACCUCCCCUUGGGGAGGUCGGCGUUGGGGACCGGCAGCACACCGCCGGCCCUGAAAUGGAGUGGCGGCCCGUCCGCGGCGACCUCUGCGCAGUAAUACAGCUCGCACCGGGACCCCGACGGGGCCACGCCGUAAAACACCCAACUUCUGAACGUUGACCUCGAAUCAGGUAGGACUACCCGCUGAACUUAAGCAUAUCAA